rnacentral:lncRNA from 1 species
AGGUGAUAGUUGGUGCAGAUGAGGUAGCUGUUGCAGCUAGUCCAAGUGGAAAAGCACAUGCUUUGGUAAACCUGGAUGCUCUGAGGAGUACAUUCUUCUUGGGGUGCCAGGAUAAUAUUAUCAAUUACAAUGACUCUACUUCUGACUUCAAUGUAUGGAAAGAUAUUUAGUUCUUUGAUCUUGUUAUUUCCGUAGCAUGGUUGGUUUUUUUUUUUUUAAAUAUAUAGUGUCAGCUAUCUCAGGGUUUUCAUCUUUGCUCCAGUUCUCUUUUAGCUGGGAGCCUUGUACAAGUAGCGGAAAAAGUUAUGAUAACCUUUUGUGUCACGUUGUAGUUCCUUUUUUGUAGUGAACUACCAAACCUGCAAAAACAAAUUACCUUCUAGUUCAAUCAAAUGCGAAAAUAAUACUACUAAUGGUAACCAAAUUGUAUCCUAAAAUGGCGAAAAUCAACUGAACGCUUCUAUGGCAAAUCCUCCAAGUAGAAGAACAUCAUCUUCUUCAUCUUCAUCAUCACCUUAUUCUGGCAGUAAUUACCUGCUUCCAAUUUCAGAUACCAACAAUAACAACAACCAAUUUCAAUCCCAAGCCACUGCAGCUACAGCAACAAUUAGACUAGUAAAUUCCAUCAAAAUCUUCCUCAGAAAACCCCAUGCUUUCCCUUUUCUCCUUUCCAUUUUCCUUUUUCUCACAUGGGUUUCCCUCAGAAUCCAGCAUCAUCAGCAUCCUAGGAGUGAUUUCAACACUUGGGCUCUGAAAUUGGGCAAUAAGGGUAAAGAUGAGGACGCCAAUCUUGUGAGGUUUCACUCUAUGUCGUCCUCUAUUGUGAAAGAUAAACGUGGGUGGUUUGUUGAUCCUGUUUCUCUCGGUCUUCAAGCUGGCAUUUCAGGUCUGAAUAUAUUUCUCUAUCCCUCCCAAAAACCGCCCCAAUUUUUUGUUCAAGGUGCCAUAUAUGCAGCACGAUGUACGAGACUUUUACAAAUAUGAAUCUGUUACUGUUAAACAGGGGGAGCAACGAAUUGUGCUUCGGUUCACAUUGGUGAGAUCCGAGCUGGGGGAGUAAGGGGGAAUCAUAGACACCAUUCUUGCAAUGAGACAUUUGUUAUUUGGGGAGCCAAAACCUUAUUUAGGGUGAGUUUUAAGUUACUAAUUCAUAUCAUUUGUCUAAUUCACUGUGUUUCACUUACUGUGUGUUUCAUUGUAAAGCCUGUCCUAUUUUCCUUGAGCAUAAUAGUUUCAAGAAAGUUAUUAUUUGGCUUGUGGAAAUUCAUCAGUUAGGAAAUUCUCUCAAGUUAUAACCAAAAAGGCUGGUUUCUUUCCCUUCUUUUUUUUAGCGUUUUAUCAGCUGGGAUUUGUCAUUAGUUUUCUAUAAAAGAGUAGAUAUCCUAUAAUUCUGCCAUUUAGCAAAAAAAAAAAAAAAGAAUAGCUUUUGGAGCUUGAAUUUUGCUGCUUAUUUAUUUUAAGCGGUCAAUGCUCAUAGAGAAACUAUAGAAAGCUUUGUAUACUAACAGAGAGUUUAUGCUGGAGAGGAUUGUUCUUCUUUUUGUAGUAUUUCUUAGACUAGUGGGACUGAAUGGGAGGGUAGUUGCAGAAGUAUGUCUAGAACAUUUAUAAUAUGCUUUUUUUGGGUCUUAGAUGGUUAUGGGUUGCUAAAAGCCUGCAUGACUAAAGAGGUGCAGCAGCUUUAAUUGUUUCUCUGGUGCCGUUAAUUUGUUUUUGAUCAAAGUCUUUUCCCUGGAAUUUGUUCUUGCCUCAACUAGUACAGAAGGGAGAAGAAAAUUUGCCAUUUGAUUUUGACGACAUGUAAUAUGUCAUAAUAGAAUUGCCAGCAAUAGUUUCUGUUUGCAUAAACAAUUGAAUGUAAUUUGGGGCCAAUGACACUGUUUGGGCAUUCUGGUUCAAGGAGGUCAACUAUUUCUAUUUCUUCAUAAUUAGAUUGAUUCUAUUUCUUCAUAAUUAGAUUGAAUACUAUAUGUCAAAAAAAAAAAAAAAUCUUUUUCUUUUCUUUUUCUUGUCUAGUCUUCCUUCCUCAAGCCACAAAUUCACAGACUCCGCUUGGCAUAAUUUUCUCUAUAUUCAUGUAUUUUAAAGGAUUACUUACAAAGUAGAGUUUAAUACUUGGGCUUUUCCUCUAGCUCUAAGUAUAUAGAGAAGGUGAAACACAGGAGUCUUGAUGCAUCAGUCAUUGUGGUGCAGCUCAAGUUAACAUGAAAUUAGGAGCAUGCUGGAGAGAAUCACUUAAAAACCAAUCUUACUUUUCCCUCUAUUGAUCUUUAUUUAGUUAUUUGGGGAACUGAUCAACUUUUUUUGAACAAAGUGGAUAGCCUAACUUUUAUGAAGUUUAAUAUGUGCCCUAGCAAGACAUCCUACAAAUUCUGUAGUUUGUUUGUGCCUUAGCACCAAUCAAGUUUCUCCAACGAGCAUUUGCUGCAGUAUUUAUGUUUGUGUGUAACAUUAUUCCAACUGUGGUAUAUUAUAUGUUCAACAGAGAACUGUCAUUUCCAACUGUGGUGUUAAGAGUUUCUUUAAUUUUUUUUUUGUCAAAUAAAGAUACUGGUAAGGACUAUUGUUUUCUGUGGGGCGGUAAAGACAUAAAGACAAAUCAGUGCACACUUGAAAUCAAGCUGUGAGUACUGAUUUUGUCAUUUGCCAUUCGAGGAUACAUGAUUUGGCUUCAAAAAUUAAACAUUUUCCAAGAUUGAGGGGGGUUGUCAUUUUCACUUGACUAGUUGAAUUCAUAUUUAAAGUUCGCACAUUUACUUUAUGUUUUGCUUGAAUCUGAAACUAGACUAAACCAUGCUGAUGCCCCAGCUGGGACUACUGGGUUUACUAAACAAGUCAACUCUAAGAUUCAGUUCACUGAGAUCAUCUUUUUUUCUGAAAAUCCUAGUUUUAUAGUGCAUGCACUUAACAUUUUCUAUGAACUGCAGCUAAAAGAGCUUGUCUUUGGGCUGAUCGCUUAAUAUAUUUAUUAUUCUUCUGAUUGAUAGCAUCUGACUUUUAUUGUCAAAUAAGCCCUUUUAGAGUUGACUUGUAUAGAUAUAUAACGAAAAACACUUCAAAACAUCAACACAAACAAAUCUGGAACUUAAGAUUUGACCAAUAUGCUUUAACAUUUUGCACCAAGGCGGUAGAGAAACUGAUAACAUGCAUGCUUAACGUUGCAUACUAGAGAACUGCUCUCAAGCUCUUAUUUGCAGCAUAACAUGCAAUUUGUUGGUUGCGUGCUCAAGUUACUUUCAUCAGCUUAAUUUGCUGGAUCCUGAAUUUCUUUCUUUUACACCUGUAAUGCCAUCUGAUUGGUGCUGUCAUCUAUCCAUUUGUUCUUCACUUCUUCUUCCUUCACUCUAUUAGUAAAUCUCAACAUACAAAUGUAUUUUUGCAGUUGGAAAAUAAUUUGGUUGACAAAGGCUAUGCUGAGGUGAUAGUUGGUGCAGAUGAGGUAGCUGUUGCAGCUAGUCCAAGUGGAAAAGCACAUGCUUUGGUAAACCUGGAUGCUCUGAGGAGUACAUUCUUCUUGGGGUGCCAGGAUAAUAUUAUCAAUUACAAUGACUCUACUUCUGACUUCAAUGUAUGGAAAGAUAUUUAGUUCUUUGAUCUUGUUAUUUCCGUAGCAUGGUUGGUUUUUUUUUUUUUAAAUAUAUAGUGUCAGCUAUCUCAGGGUUUUCAUCUUUGCUCCAGUUCUCUUUUAGCUGGGAGCCUUGUACAAGUAGCAGAAAAAGUUAUGAUAACCUUUUGUCUCACCUUGUAGUCCCUUUUUUGUAGUAGACUUUGUUUUUAAGUGAAUCUGCUAAUCACAAAUAUGGAUACUUUAAUGCCAAAAAGUAACAUGUAUGUGAAAAAUGUUUGUGUUUGUCCGGGUGUAUAUGUACAUGCAUUCAAAAGCUGAUGCAACUAUCUGUAAUGGGGCUUGCUGUGUUAGAAUCUAAGGGGUUCUCUUGCAGUUGAAUUGGAAUUUCAACCUUUGGAUUACAAGUUU